AGCUUUGCGCAGUGGCGAUGUCCUAGUCGAUGAGGUACAAUCGAGGUGCGAUUCUGGCUAGUUGAAAACUUUAUUACAUUCGUUUUAGUGGUGAAUGUUUCGUCUCGAUACGUGUAAUAUUAAAAAAAAAAGUUGU